rnacentral:tRNA from 1 species
UAGGAAGAUGCCUGAAAAAAGGAGUAUUUUGAUGUAAUAAUUAAUGUUUGAUUAAACUCUUCCU